CAGGAAAAUAUAAACUGCUUUAUUGUAAGUUAGUUUCCUCUUAUUGAAUAGCAAAAAGAUGAAGAUACAUCUAGUUUACAAGGACUGAAUCAAAACUUUUGACAAAAAUGAGGUUCAAGCUUAAUAUAAAAUCAUGUUCCAUUUAUAUUUUGUGUUCAUAUAUAUUAAAAAUCUGUAUGUAUAUGCAUGUAUGUGUAUAUGUGUGUAUAAAUAUAUACAUUCAUUCAUUCAUCUACACAGAGACAGAUAUAGAAAUAAACAUUGGUGAACCAGAAGUAAUAUUCAAAAUUCAUAUCUUAAGAAAUAGGACACUGUAAACAUUAUAACAACAACAUUAAAUGGUCUUCAGAACAGCUUGACUCUUGGGAUGGUGCUCCCUGUUAAAUAUUAUCCUUUGUAGCAUCUUUUCUCUUUGCCGUAAAGAUUUGAAAGUCACCAAAGCCACAUAUUUCUUCCUCCUCCUCCUCUUGCUUGUGUACUAUAUAUUCCACAGUUGGUCUUCCUGUUCCUAUAAUUGCAACAAUGGUCUUCCAACCUCUCUGCUUCUUCUUCUUUAACUUUCUGGUAUCUGCACCAAGUUGCUGCUGAAGAGCAUCAACGGAAACCACUACCACAGCCU
ensembl:processed_transcript